rnacentral:ncRNA from 1 species
GAUUUAAACGGAAAUGGUGUCUUCCGUUCAAAAUAACCGCCUCGUGCUGAUGACGCCUACAAUUAU